UCACACCACAUGCUCUCCCUUUCUCUCUCUCCUGGCCGUCUGUACUCGCUGCUCUCUCAUUCGCUCCGGCCGGCUCAUCGCUGGCUGUCAGUUCAUUUGCGGCAGCAGAGCAACACUUGGCUUCUUUCAGUGCUCGGAGCGGAGAGGGAGAGGCGAGAGUGGUGGCAAGAGUGGAAGAAGAAAAAGUGGAUGAUCUUUUGUUAAGCAUCCAUUCCUCCCCUCAUCCCUCUCUGGCAGCAGUGUCAUCAGCACCGCUGCCUCCACUGCCGCUCCUGCUGCUGGAUCCUCCGUCUCCUGCCGGGAUCUGCCUCCUCCUUCUCCUCAGGGAGCUCUUCCUGGUGCUGGGAGGGGGAGGGAGAUCACCACCUCCCAGCUUGCAGCGGACCCUCAGCAAGGCAUCAGGAGGAAAGAAGGAAAGAAGGAAGGGGAUGACAUUUUAGGAGAGGCUGACAGGAGAGCAAAGCAGAGGCAACACCCUGGUUUACAGUAGAGCAGAGGAGAGAAGAAGAAAAAAGGGGCCGAGCAGGAGCAGUGAUGGCAACAGUGAAACCAAAUGUCACCGCUGGUUGAGGACUUUCAGAAGGAAGGAGGAGCUAUCCCAGGCCACGGCCCAGAGGAGCCAUUGAUGGAGCCUUGCUUCAUGCUGCAGCGAGGCGUCUUCAAUCAAUGCGACUGCCCCACUUUCACUAUAUAUGUAUGUGUUUGUUUGCCACUGGAGCCUGAAGGGGGGCUGCUGAUGGCGGUGGCGAUGGUGGUGGUGAUGAUGAUGAUGCGAUGGCAAUGGUGCUACUCAUGUGGUUUCUGGCUUAGCUCCCCGCGUUUACUGAAAGACUCUCUUCGGUGACGGGUAUUCUUGGGUGGAUAAUACGGAUCACGUUGUUAUUGCUUAAGAAUACGCGUAGUCGAGGAGAGUCCUCUCUUCGCCCAACACCAGCAACACACCCCCACCCCCGACACCCACCCACCCACGUUCCUCAUCUCACUUCAUCCCGACUACCCACCCACCCACGGAGGACUGUCAGGAUGGGUGAAGCCACACCCCCAAUCUCUACCCUUCCAAAAGAAAUUCCCACUUCUUCUUCGAUCUGUACUGCAUGUUUUUGUCCACUUCCUGUUUGCUGAGCCACGGUCCAAGGUUGAGGGUGUCCUCACGUCUGUCCCACCGUGCAUCUAUCAGUCUGUCUCUGUCUACAUGGCGAUGGACAGCGUAGCGUGUUUGUGUUUUGUUUCUGUUUGUGUGUCUGUUGGACAUGUUGCUUCGAGAUUGUGCGGUCUAACAGAGAAAAACUGUCUCUUUGUUUUGUCGGAUACCAAGUCUGCAUGGACAGUGUCAGUUCCCAUAAUGCAAGGGUGGCAUUGUAGCCUUCACACUCACACAAACAUGUUUAUUUACAAUAAGACAGUCGUACCUACUUUAGGUUUGGUUUACAUUUGGGGUCAGCGCUGUCUUAAACCCCUUAGAUAGUAAUGGCCUGAACUUGUGCUGGGAGUCAACUUUAACAAACUAUAACAUUGUUUGAAAGUGACACAAUAUUAUCUGUCUAAAUCAUAGACCAGUACAUAGCCCUGAGGCUCACUUUAUCUUGACAGAGACCCUCUUCAAGACAGGCUCUGGGGAUUAGGAAAGAGACAUUAUUAUGUCCAUUAAUAUUGUACUGUCAUGGUACAUGUUUUAAAACAAAUCUUCAGGUUAAUUAGCACAAACCAGUCCACACACAGUUAACCUAGAGCUUUGGGGGAAACUACAGAUCUAGGGCUCCAGGGCAGUGGCCUCUUUAUGCUGGUAAUCCAGCCUUGCUGGACAGGUACAGCUACAGGAAAAACAGAAAUAUAUUUUUACCAGGUAAACCCUGUAAAUGCAAUUGAGCAUGACCAGGACUAUUUCUAUUUGACUUCUUGAUAUUAUACUCAAAAGAGUUACCUCUCAGAAUAGAGCAGGAACUUCCUAGGCCCUUUGACUAAUCUCUCGAUUAUUGUUCUUAUACUUAAAUUAAUCAUUUAUUAAAUAAAUAAUCUGAAUAUAGUGAUGCCUGUCACAAUUUCCCAGAGCCUUUGGCAACAUCGUGCAAUUGCUCAUUUUAUCUGAGCAACAGUCUAAAACCCAGUUCACAUAUUAAAUCGGUUGAGUCAAUUGGUUUAGGAAAUGUUACCUAAUAGCAAACCACAGCCCAAUGGGAUGUCUUGUUUUGCAGCAAAUACUCACAAACUAGAACCACUGAAUGUUUGGUAAUUUCGCUGGAUUAAUUACUUGCUUUUUAAAAUUGGUGAAGAUUAAAUUUCUGUGAAUCAACAGAUCGAUUAAUUGACUUGUUGUUACAGUUCCAUGACGAAAAGGUUUUUUGACCAGUAACUAAUUUAACAGUGUGUCAUUUUUGGGCCUGUGCAUGAAAAUGUCGCUAAAUAAAAAAUCGGAUAAAGGUCACUCAGUUUGGUUUUGUCGUUUAGGACCUGGUCUAAAAGCCUGUGCAUCAGACCUCAUAAUGACCAACAUUUCUGCAGGAUAAUACUUAACAUAAAUGAUAUUUUUCCAAAUUUUGCUCAAUCUCUGGCUUAAGAAUUAACAAUAUAUUAGCUACAGCACCUAAAUCCAAGCAUCACUAUCACCUGAUCAAUAUGUGUAGGGCUGUAAUAUCAGCAGACAGUAUUAUAUAUUACCUCUGGCUGUGGUUAUAGAGUGGAACCUCCUCUUAUUCAACUCCAUGUAGUGCAUUUAUUAUGGGGCUGAGCUGAGCCGAGUCGCCUCUUACCUUCCCCCCUUUAGGCCCCUUUUUUAUGCAAAUGACAUUUAUCGCAUUGAGGUUUAUACCACAUGUAA